rnacentral:lncRNA from 1 species
GGGGGGUCGAUAGAAGUAUUUUCACGUCAUUCCUGACCUCCGUCCUUCUCCUAAAUGAUAUCACCAGGCUUUGAGUCAAGCCUGAAGGGCCGAUAGGACGUUCAGCAUUUCAGAGUUGAGGUAGAAAUUGAAGACCUGGAUGCUGGAUUCGUUUUUGGUCCUGAUCAGCUCAGUCUGACAUCAUUUCACUGUGAAGCAGAAGCCCAAAGACUUGGUUGAUAUUCUGUAAAUGAACCCACCAGAAGAACCCAAGAGGCCCUCUGCUUUCCAUCAGGCUACCAGUCCUCCAGACAGCAAACGAAGAGGCAGAGAUUAAUUCCUUAUUAGCCUGGUGAAGGUGAUGUUAGCUGGUACAAUCAGCUGAUUCAAGCAUGAUGGAGUGUGUGAAAAGAAAAGCUGCAGAAAGAAUGUUGGGUUGACUCUAAUGUUGUCAGUAGUGCUGAAAGAAAA